AUUGAACGCUGGCGGCGUGCCUAACACAUGCAAGUCGAGCGGUAACAGGUGUAGCAAUACAUGCUGACGAGCGGCGAACGGGUGAGUAAUGCUUUGGAAUCUUCCCAGUAGUGGGGAAUAACCAGUCGAAAGAUUGGCUAAUACCGCAUACGUCUGUAAAGGGAAAGCGGGGGACUCGCCUCUUCUUCGGAAGAGAGGCCUCGCGCUAUUGGAUGAGCCAAAG
rnacentral:rRNA from 1 species